GACAUAGGUGGCAAGCGUUAUUCGGAAUUACUAGGCGUAAAGCGAGUGUAGGCGGACGAUUAAGUCCGAUGUUAAAUCUCCAGGCUUAACUUGGAGUCGCAUCGGAUACUGGUCGCCUCGAGUGGGGUAGGGGCAGUGGAAUUCCCAGUGUAGUGGUGAAAUACGUAGAGAUUGGGAAGAACACCAGUGGCGAAGGCGGCUAUCUGGACGGUUUCUGACGCUAAGACGCGAAAGCGUGGGGAGCAAACAGGAUUAGAAACCCCGGUAGU
rnacentral:rRNA from 1 species